rnacentral:tRNA from 2 species
GGGCUACUAGCUCAGCCGGUAGAGCACUGGACUUUUAAUCCAGGUGUCCCGGGUUCGAGUCCCGGGUAGCUCA